GACGAACGCUGGCGGCGUGCCUAAUACAUGCAAGUCGAACGCACAGUUUAUACCGUAGCUUGCUACACCAUAGACUGUGAGUUGCGAACGGGUGAGUAACGCGUAGGUAACCUGCCUGGUAGCGGGGGAUAACUAUUGGAAACGAUAGCUAAUACCGCAUAAUAUUAAUUAUCGCAUGAUAAUUAAUUGAAAGGUGCAAUUGCACCACUACCAGAUGGACCUGCGUUGUAUUAGCUAGUAGGUGAGGUAACGGCUCACCUAGGCGACGAUACAUAGCCGACCUGAGAGGGGGAUCGGCCACACUGGGACUGAGACACGGCCCAGACUCCUACGGGAGGCAGCAGUAGGGAAUCUUCGGCAAUGGACGAAAGUCUGACCGAGCAACGCCGCGUGAGUGAAGAAGGGUUUUGGAUCGUAAAGCUCUGUUGUAAGAGAAGAACGGGUGUGAGAGUGGAAAGUUCACACUGUGACGGUAUCUUACCAGAAAGAGACGGCUAACUACGUG
rnacentral:rRNA from 1 species